rnacentral:lncRNA from 10 species
AGUUCUGUUCCCUGGAAGGUGGGAAUAGAAGAGGAUUUAUGUUCUAUGAGGUGGCAAAAACCAGAAGAACUUCUCUGGCUUUGGAAAUGACUUUGACCUCCAGAGCGGUAUUUAGAAAAGUCAUUAAAAAUUCCAUUGCUAAACAUUGGAGGGCUUCUGGCUUGUAGGGUGAAAGGGCUUGGCUGAAUUUCAGCAAAAACUUAGUAACAUAUUAUGAUAUGAGGAAAGAACAGAAACAAAAGGCUCUGCCUGGGUAACAGGGCUACCAGCUGAGCAACGGACUGAGAAGCUGUUGCUAAGGAGCGAUUCGGAAAGUUAGAGUUCACAUGGACAAAUAAGAGUGGAACCAUAGCAAUUUGGACGGAGUCUCGCUCUGUCGCCCAGGCUGGAGUGCAGUGGCGCGAUCUCGGCUCACUGCAAGCUCCGCCUCCCGAAAAUUCUAAUUUUCUGUUGGAGCUGUGAUGGCAUCUUCUAGUCAUGAGGGAAAGAUCAAGAGAAGGAAGAGGUGUCAGCCGUGACAUCAUUUAGCAGAUAUACUAAUCAGCGUUCCUCUGAAAUAUCUGUUAUCAAGUAAUAAUAAAAUUCAGUUGCUCA